GGAUUGGAAAUGGGGGAACCCUGAUCCAGCAAUGCCGCGUGUGUGAAGAAGGUCUUCGGAUUGUAAAGCACUUUUGGCAGGGACGAUGAUGACGGUACCUGCAGAAUAAGCCCCGGCUAACUUCGUGCCAGCAGCCGCGGUAAUACGAAGGGGGCUAGCGUUGCUCGGAAUGACUGGGCGUAAAGGGCGCGUAGGCGGCACAGACAGUCAGAAGUGAAAUUCCUGGGCUCAACCUGGGGGCUGCUUUUGAUACGUCUGAGCUAGAGUGGAGAAGAGGGUUGUGGAAUUUCCAGUGUAGAGGUGAAAUUCGUAGAUAUUGGAAAGAACACCGGUGGCGAAGGCGGCAACCUGGUCUUCUACUGACGCUGAGGCGCGAAAGCGUGGGGAGCAAACAGGAUUAGAUACCCUGGUAGUCCACGCUGUAAACGAUGUGUGCUGGAUGUUGGGGAACUUUGUUUUUCAGUGUCGUAGCUAACGCGAUAAGCACACCGCCUGGGGAGUACGGCCGCAAGGUUGAAACUCAAAAAAAUUGACGGA
rnacentral:rRNA from 1 species